GAUGAACGCUAGCUACAGGCUUAACACAUGCAAGUCGAGGGGUAACGAGAGGAAAGCUUGCUUUCCUUGUCGACGACCGGCGCACGGGCGAGUAACGCGUAUCCAACCUGCCCCCAACUAAGGAAUAACCUUGCGAAAGUAAGACUAAUACCUUAUAAUUUCCUCAGAUGUCAUCUGACGAGGAAUAAAGAUUUAUCGGUUGUGGAUGGGGAUGCGUCUGAUUAGCUUGUUGGCGGGGUAACGGCCCACCAAGGCAACGAUCAGUAGGGGUUCUGAGAGGAAGGUACCCCACAUUGGAACGGAGACACGGUCCAAACUCCUACGGGAGGCAGCAGUGAGGAAUAUUGGUAAAUGGGCGAAAGCCUGAACCAGCCAAGUAGCGUGCAGGAUGACGGCCCUAUGGGUUGUAAACUGCUUUUAUACAGGAAUAAAGUUAGCCACGUGUGGUUAUUUGUAGGUACUGUAUGAAUAAGGACCGGCUAAUUCCGUGCCAGCCGCCGCCGUAA
rnacentral:rRNA from 1 species